UGUUUACUGUUUAUUGGAUAUGUCACUUCUGUUGUAUAGGAAAUACGUAACACUGCGAGAAGAGAAAGUUACAUAUACUAGGCUGAGCUACUCAAGGUUUCCUGCAAUUUUGUCUUCAAAGUCAUCGACCAAUAGGUGUAUAUCUUGUUGACGAUAUAACUGUUUUGCCCAAAGCAUUAGAACAAUUAUGGCAUCGUCUGAGGGAGACAUACCUCCGGACAUUCUAUCAACACACGAUGAAUUUCGACUGUCUGAUAUUGAAAGUUCUGAGGGAGACAUAAAACCAAAGCCGGUCGAUAUGACUGAUGGCGAUGAUGAUUUCCCACCAUUUGAUGUUGUGCGU